rnacentral:rRNA from 1 species
CCAUUCUCCCGAGCGAGUCUUAUGGAGCCUGCCGCGUGAGGUGAAGAAGGUUCUUUCGGAUCUUAAAGCUCUGUUUGUGAGGGAAGAACAAGUACGGGAGUAACUGCCCGUACCUUGACGGUACCUUAUUAGAAAGCCACGGCUAACUACGUGCCAGCAGCCGCGGUAAUA